rfam:Gossypium hirsutum cultivar TM-1 unplaced genomic scaffold scaffold1977.1, whole genome shotgun sequence
UAUUAAAACUUUCAUCCAUUUGUAUAGUUAAAAAUUGGCAUGAUUGAUAAAAUAUUCAAACAAUAGCACAUUGUGUGCCAAGUCUAUCUCAUGCUGACGUACAAGAACCAAUUUUUAACAACAAAAAUGGAUGAAAUUUUUAACG